rnacentral:rRNA from 1 species
UGCUGUCGAACGAUGAAGCCUUUCGGGGUGGAUUAGUGGCGAACGGGUGAGUAACACGUGGGUAAUCUGCCCUUGGCUUUGGGAUAAGCCCUGGAAACGGGGUCUAAUACCGGAUAUGACUGUCGCAGGCAUCUGUGAUGGUGGAAAGUUCCGGCGGCCAGGGAUGGGCCCGCGGCCUAUCAGCUUGUUGGUGGGGUAAUGGCCUACCAAGGCGACGACGGGUAGCCGGCCUGAGAGGGCGACCGGCCACACUGGGACUGAGACACGGCCCAGACUCCUACGGGAGGCAGCAGUGGGGAAUAUUGCACAAUGGGCGAAAGCCUGAUGCAGCGACGCCGCGUGAGGGAUGACGGCCUUCGGGUUGUAAACCUCUUUCGACAGGGACGAAGCGAAAGUGACGGUACCUGUAGAAGAAGCACCGGCUAACUACGUGCCAGCCGCCGCGGUAAUACGUAGGGUGCGAGUGUUGUCCGGAAUUAUUGUGUGUACAGAGCUCUUUAGCGGUUUGUCGC